rnacentral:rRNA from 1 species
AUUGAACGCUAGCGGGAUGCUUUACACAUGCAAGUCGAACGAGUGGCGGACGGGUGAGUAAUAUAUCGGAACCUCCCCAGUGGCGGGGGAUAACUACUCGAAAGAGUGGCUACUACCGCAUACUAUUGGAGCGGCCGCUAUCGGAUUAGCUAGUUGGUGGGGUAAAGGCUCACCAAGGCAACGAGCCGUAGCUGGUUUGAGAGGACGACCAGCCACACUGGGACGGAGACACGGCCCAGACUCCGACGGGAGGCAGCAGUGGGGAAGUUUGGACAAUGGGGGAAACCCUGAUGCAGCCAUCCCGCGUGUAUGAGAAGGCCUUCGGGUGGUAAAGGACUUUUGGCAGAGAAGCGGUAUCUGCAGAAGAAGCACCGGCUAACGACGUGCCAGCAGCCGCGGUAAUUC